rnacentral:rRNA from 1 species
UACGUAGGGGGCAAGCGUUGUCCGGAUUUAUUGGGCGUAAAGAGCGUGUAGGCGGCUUUACAGGUCCGUUGUGAAAACUCGAGGCUCAACCUCGAGACGCCGGUGGAAACCGUAAGGCUAGAGUCCGGAAGAGGAGAGUGGAAUUCCUGGUGUAGCGGUGAAAUGCGCAGAUAUCAGGAGGAACACCCGUGGCGAAAGCGGCUCUCUGGAACGGUACUGACGCUGAGGCGCGAAAGCGUGGGGAGCGAACAGG